rnacentral:rRNA from 1 species
CCCUUAGAUGUUCUGGGCCGCACACGCGCUACACUGGCAGGUUCAUCGAGCUUCAUGCCCUGAUCUGAGAAGAACGGGAAAUCUUUGAACACCUGCCGUGCUUGGGAUAGAUGUUUGCAAUUAUUCAUCUUCAACGAGGAUUGCCUUGUAAGCGCACGUCAUCAGCGUGCAUUGAAUACGACCCUGUAUUCUGUACACACCGCCCGUCACUCCUACCGAUUGAAGUUUUCGGUGAAUUUACUGGAGAUCCCUUUUGAAGGUGGUUCGCCACUGGAAGAAGUAUUCAAAAGUAAAUGAAUCGAAUGCUUUAGAGGAAGGAGAAGUCGUAACA